UACGUAGGGGGCAAGCGUUGUCCGGAUUUAUUGGGCGUAAAGAGCGUGUAGGCGGCCAGGUAGGUGGGUUGUGAAAACUGGAGGCUCAACCUUCAGACGUCGACCCCAAAACCCCCUCGGCUAGUAGUCCGGAAAGAGGAGAGUGGAAUUCCUGGUGUAGGCGGUGAAAUGCGCAGAUAUCAGGAAGAACACCCGUGGCGAAGGCGGCUCUCUGGGACGGUACUGACGCUGAGACGCGAAAAGCGUGGGGAGCGAACAGG
rnacentral:rRNA from 1 species